AGAAUGUGACGGCAGAUAAGAACCAUUCGGCCCAUCUAGUCUGCCCAAUUUUCUAAAUACUUUCAUUAGUCCCUGGCCUUAUAUUAUAGUUAGGAUAGCCUUACGCCUAUCUCACGCAUGCUUAAACUCCUUUACUGUGUUAACCUCUACCACUUCAGCUGGAAGGCUAUUCCAUGCGUCCACUACCCUCUCAGUAAAGUAAUACUUCCUGAUAUUUUUAAACCUUUGUCCCUGUAAUUUAAGACUAUG